AAACCGUUCAGGGGUAAACCUGAGGAACCCGAAAGAUCGAAUGGGGAGAUUCAGCGUCAGCGGCGCUGGCUCGGCCGAGUGAACGAUGUUACGGACUACGGUAUCGCGACACGUUAUCACUCAUGCCUUGUCCGGCGUCGUCGUCGUGCACUUCUCCUCUAGUAGAACGUCGCGACCCGUUGGGUGCCGGUCUACGGUCCGAGCGGUAGACUGUCGCGUCGCUUCGGCGCACGCGUCAGACCCUCGGUCGCCCGGCCGGCUGCCCGGCGGUCGAACUUAUAAGGUAUCUUGCCGCAAUUGUAAAACUGCGUCGGGCCCGCCGCAAGCGCGGUCAGUGUCUCGGAGGUACGGACCCGGUGCCGUCCCCGAGCCUGACCAACUGUUGGCAGGCGGAGUCCUCGGACGGGCAAUACACAAUAAUACCGGUCUGCGACGCUACUGCUUUGGGUACUCUCAGGA
rnacentral:rRNA from 1 species